rnacentral:rRNA from 1 species
UACGUAGGGGGCAAGCGUUGUCCGGAUUUAUUGGGCGUAAAGAGCGUGUAGGCGGCCAGACAGGUCAGCUGUGAAAACUCGAGGCUCAACCUCGAGACGUCGGUUGAAACCGUCUGGCUAGAGUCCGGAAGAGGAGAGUGGAAUUCCCGGUGUAGCGGUGAAAUGCGCAGAUAUCGGGAAGAACACCCGUGGCGAAGGCGGCUCUCUGGGACGGUACUGACGCUGAGACGCGAAAGCGUGGGGAGCGAAAAGG